CCAAAAAAAGACAGUCUCAGUUCGGAUUGAAGGCUGAAAUUCGCCUUCAUGAAGCCGGAAUUGCUAGUAAUGGCAGGUCAGCAUACUGCCGUGAAUACGUUCCCGGGCCUUGUACACACCGCCCGUCACACCAUGAGAGUUGGGGAUACCCGAAGCCUGUGAGCUAACUUUUAGAGGCAGCAGUCGAAGGUAGAAUCAAUGAUUGGGGUGAAGUCGUAACAAGGUAUC
rnacentral:rRNA from 1 species